rnacentral:rRNA from 1 species
CCUACGGGAGGCAGCAGUGAGGAAUAUUGGUCAAUGGACGAGAGUCUGAACCAGCCAAGUAGCGUGAAGGAUGACUGCCCUAUGGGUUGUAAACUUCUUUUAUCUGGGAAUAAUAUGUUCCACGUGUGGGAUUUUGUAUGUACCAUAUGAAAAAGGCUCGGCUAAAUCCGUGCCAGCAGCCGCGGGUAUACGGGGGAACCGAGCGUUUUCCGGGUUUAAUGGGUUUAAAGGGAGCGUAGGUGGGUAUGUAAGUCAGUUGUGAAAGUUUGCGGCUCAAACGUAAAAUUGCAGUUGAAACUGGCAGUCUUGAGUACAGGAGAGGUGUGCGGAAUGCGUGGUGUAGCGGUGAAAUGCUUAGAUAUCACGAAGAACUCCGAUUGCGAAGGCAGUACACUGGACUGCAACUGACACUGAGGCUCGAAAGUGUGGGUAUCAAACAGGAUUAGAUACCCUGGUAGUC